UACGGAGGUGGCAAGCGUUACUCGGAAUCAUUGGGUGUAAAGGGCAAGUAGGCGGUCUGUUAAGUGAGGGGUGAAAUCUUCCGGCUCAAUCGGAAAACUGCCUUUCAAACUGGCAGACUUGAGGCAGAAAGAGGGAAAUGGAAUUCUCGGUGUAAGGGUGAAAUCUGUAGAUAUCGAGAAGAACACCUGCGGCGAAGGCGAUUUCCUGGUUCUGCCCUGACGCUGAAUUGCGAAAGCUAGGGUAGCGAACAGA
rnacentral:misc_RNA from 1 species